AAAUUGUAUCUCGUCAAGUAAAAUGUCUGUUCUUGUGACUUAUGAUUUAUUGUAGGUACACCUAGUAUUAGUAUGGGUAAAUGUCGUAUGGUGUGUAAAUAGCUAGAGAUCAAUAAUGUUUCAUGUUUCCAUUUGUUUUUUAUCAUCUAUAUUUAUUUUUUAAAUCUAUUAUAAAUGCAAGUCUUAAUUAUGUACCUAUUAUACUUAUGUUAUUUUUAUUAUGUAUAACUGACAUGCACUAAUAACCAUUUCAAUAAUUGAUUCUUAAUAGUAACAUCAGCAAAUCUAUUGUCAUAUUUUAGUCAUACUAGUUUUGUUAAACAAUCACAUAAUGAUAAAAUGGAAUGAGUAAAUAUUGGCUACGGUUUAUCUUUAGCAUUGCCUAUAUCAGACAUAACUCAAAGUAUGAUAAAAAUAAUAAUUUAGGUAAACAUGUAAUGAAAUUAACACGGGUAAUUGGCUAUGUUUUCUCAUGUAGAAAUAUCUACAAUGCUAUUAAAUGAGCCAUUAUCCAUUGUAUCACUUACUAAAAUAAAAACAAACACAAUAAUUUAUUUAAGAAUUUCAGAAUUAAAAGAAUACAAUUUCACUACUGGAAAACAACUUUUCUGUUCAGACUGUGAAUAAACAUCAUAAAAUGAGAAAAAAAAAUACACUUGAUAGGUGAAAUAAAUUGAUAAACCAAGUUAGUAAAGUCUCUUUGAAUUUUAUUAAAUUUCUAGUAAAAACUAAAGAAAGACGCUAUAUUAUGGUAUAGUAUGAAAUUUUAGCAAUUCUAUUUUUCAAACAUGCCCAAAGGCGGAUCUUUAAUCCACUUGAAUCAACUUAAAUAAUUUUAGUUUGGGUUUUGAAAUUAUUUAGUUUCAGUUUUGUAAAACUGUUUUUAAACAUGUUUUAACUAGACAGACAAGUGGCAAAUAGCCUAGUUUACACCUGCUGAAUACUUGGUUAAAACACUCAUUUUACUGCUCAGCUGAACACUUAUACUAAAUGAGAAAGUGUCUACAAUCCUAAACAAAUUUGAUUCAAUCUAAUCAGCCAUUUACACAUAACAAUAAUA